rnacentral:tRNA from 2 species
GGAGGCUUAGCUCAGCUGGUUAGAGCGCAUGCUUCACACGCAUGAGGUCACAGGUUCGAGUCCCGUAGUCUCCACCA